rnacentral:lncRNA from 1 species
AUCUCCCAAUCUAAAUCUCCCCCUAAAAAGAAUCCAAUCCAAUUCAAUGUCCCAAAUCCCCUUUCAAAAGUCUAUCAAAACAAAACUUAUGCACAAAACCUAUGAUUAAAUAAGAUAAGUUUGAAGUUAGGAUCGAUUCAAGCAAAACAAGAGAAGAAGAAAAAACUAAUGAUGAGAGAAAAGGAAAAAAACCCUAUGUGAUAGAAUUGAAAACUCGAAAAGGUUUGUUCCUCUUUGGAGAGAGGGAGAGAGUGAGGGAGGGGGAC